CCAAAAAAGGUCUCACCUUUAAAGGCCAUUCGCUAUAGUGAACUCUUUACCUAGUGUCCCUCAUCAUGGCAGUUCGUGCUGUCCGCCAGUUGAUAAAAUUUACUUACCGCGUAAGCGGGUGUAUGGUAACACUUCAUGCGCGACUAAUAAAGUGCCAGCAGUCGCGGUCAUACUUUAGCUAAAAGUAAAGAACAUUAGAGCUAUCUAGAUAUACUUAGGUGCCAGUGGUGAAAUACAGGCACCUAGAAACACUACUAUACCUAUGUAAUACAUAAAAGCUGAUACCAAACAGGGAUUAGAUACCCCUUUAUGCAGCUCGCGCAUUCAGUUCUGGGCACUCCCGCUUUAUAGCGUAAACCUAACUAGCAUGGCGGUAGACCAGAUAUUUAGGGGAACUUACUGGAUAAUUGAUAACCACCAAGAUCAUCUACGCUUGCUAACAUUCUACAUACCGUCGUCGUCAGAUAUACUAUAAUAGGGUGUCGCUAUAUAUAAAUAAAAAGACAGAUCAAGGCGUAGACAACGCAAGCGCCUUAGCGAGUUACUAUAGGUGCUCCCUUCAUUCACUUCCUUUAAAAGGAUCUAAUGUGGAGGACUUGAAAGUAAUCUAUAUUAAGUAUAUUGUAUGAAUA
rnacentral:rRNA from 1 species